rnacentral:other from 1 species
UAGAAGCUGCAUUGUACGCAAAUAAUGGUUUCAACCUGUAUACUUAAUUAGGGAGUUUUAAUCGAAAUAGGAAUGUCAAGCCUUCAAUGUGUAGAGGACGACUGAACUAUUUCUGCAAACACCCACUUCGAGAAGUGGUGGUUUGAAACUCAGUUAGUAGCGGCAAUUGCGGCCCACCC